rnacentral:rRNA from 1 species
GGCGUAGGGGGCCAGCGUUGCUCGGAAUUACUGGGCGUAAAGGGUUCGUAGGCGGUGCGGCGAGUCGGGAGUGAAAUCUCUGGGCUUAACUCAGGGGCUGCUUCCGAAACUGCCGUGCUUGAGUGCGGGAGAGGCGAGUGGAAUUGCAGGUGUAGCGGUGAAAUGCGUAGAUAUCUGCAGGAACACCCGUGGCGAAGGCGGCUCGCUGGACCGCAACUGACGCUGAGGAACGAAAGCUAGGGGAGCAAACAGG